rnacentral:sRNA from 1 species
AAACUCCACUAAAAUCAUACAUGAAAAACUCUACGUACUAAAUAAAUACAGCUUUUUUUGAAGUAAAUUUCAGUUCAGAUUAACAACUGGAAAAAUCUUGAAGUAACUAGAAAUCGAAUAGAAUAAUAAUAAAAUAAAGGGAAUGUGACACUAUGAGGCACUUUUAAGAAAUGUUUUUCCGUUUUAGACACUUUUAAGAGUUUAGGCACUUUAUCUUGUUUUUGGUGAGAAAAUAGACAAAAUUACCCUUGAGAUUUUGUCUCUCUCUUUUUCGUAUCCAUUCUCUCUCUUUCUCUCGCUUUAUCAAAAAUAAAAAAUCAAGAAAACAAAUCUUCAAAAUUUACAUUUUUUUUACGCCAUUAAAGAGAGAAAAAAGUUGUUGAACGUUUGCAAAGAAGAAAUCAUCAACUUCUUUCUUUCUUCCUUCUUCAACAAAUCAUCAGCUUUCUACAAAAAGAGAGAUUGAUUGAACAAUCAGAUUCAACUUUAUUUUUCCAGUUAAUCGGAUCUCCCGAUUUCUCCGUGUCUGCUUUGAUUAAGGAGAAUUUUUCAGAUCACCAACUUCAGAAUAUGAAUCUGAUUUUUAUAAGAGAGGAUCUGUUGGAUUUAAAGAACUGCCAUGGUAAUAUCAUCACAUAUUCACAUCCUCUUCGUUUUUCUAUCGUUUUCUGUUUUUGCUCUUAAAUAAUUUAUUUUUCGAUUUCAUGAACCACCAGGUUGUGAAUAAACCAAAUUGGCCAAUUCCAGUAUUGAAUUUUAUAUCCAUUUGAUCAGCUUGUUUGGUAUCAUAUGAUUUUGGCUCGAUAAAUUGAUAAUAUCGUUGAACUUCUAAGUUAAGAGUAUUUUACUUUGCAUACGAGAAUCAAUUAUUUCCACAUGGUCACGUCUAAGUGGACAUGUUAUUAUCAAAGCUUCCAACACGAUUUCAUUAUGUAGAAACUAAUAAUCAUAUAGGUCUCCAAAACACAAGAACAAUCUGUAGACAUUACUUUCAAACAUCAACACGCUAAAUCCAAGUAGAUAAUGAUAGUUUGUGUCCAUGAUAACUCAUCCACUUAAACUUGACCAUAUGGAGUAAUGGUGAAACAUGACAAACACUUGAACACAAAUGAUUCAUGUUUAGAGCUUUCAUCAAUUAUAAUUUGAAUGAAUAAGAGUAUCAUUGGUGAUGCAAGAAUCACAACUUGGUCAAAACAAAUCAUACCAACACACAAAAGUUCAUACAUCAAUGAAUAUCACCAAUUUCACGAGUAGCGUCCAUUUUUUGUUGACCACUAGUUCACUUGUUUAUAGACACUCUCAUCGUUAUGUGGGUUGAUCACUUGUUUAUAGACACAUAUGCUGCAAACAAAAUACGUGGUUGUCCAUUACGGAUUGUCCAAAUGUUGUAGUCCAAUAGAGAACAUCAAGUACUGAAUUUCAAACAAACGGGGCAGAGAAGUUAUCUAACAUUAUCAUAGAAUUAUGAACAAGAUCACCAAACACUUGGAAGCUUUUAGUAAACCAAACCAUUAAUCUUUAGUUUUAUAGGAGAAAUAACCACACAAAAAUCAAGGGAUGCACUUCACUCCUCCAUAUCAAACCUAAAGAGAUAAAUGUGUCUCAAUCAAAUACUAUAUAUGUGUAAAUUGACGCUAAUACUCUCCACUAGCAAAAUCAAAGUCUGAAUAAAUCGUUCAAAUCAAUCUAAUUUCAUCAUAAGAGUUAAGGUUAGUUUAUACCUUCAAUUCCAAACAAUUUCAAUUCCACAAUCAAUCAAAUCCACAAUCUCACAACAAUUUUUCAAAUUUCUGCAACAUUGAAACUUCCUGCAUCUCGUCACAUCAAACUUUCCACUAUACCGAUUCUAGAAACUUCCAAUAACAUCAAAACCAGACUAUGACACCUCAAAAACACGAAGAAUCACGAAGCAAGACAAAAGUAAACAUGAAUGGAGAUGAGUAAACUCAAAUCACCUUGAGUUUAUGAACGACGACGACGUCAGAAGCGCCGGUGAUGUUGAUCAAGCGGUCGAUAACGUUCUAACUCAUGUCGCCAUAAGAAAGAAGAUAUGAAGAAUCAAUUUGAGCGAGAAGCUUGGUUCACAACAAUUGAUUGAUUGUGAAAUUUUGUUUUUGGAGUGAGGAAGGAGAAAAGAAAAAAGAUUUUGUUUUGUUGUUGUGAAAUUACCGUGAACCGAUGGAUUGAAUUGGGGGAGAUGGAUUGAAUUGGAGGGGGGGAAGAGAGAGAGAGAUGAAUUGUAUCGAGAAAGAGAGAGAAUUAUAAUAAGAAGAAUUGUUAGCGUAAAUGUAGGAGAGAUAUAGUUAAAGGGCAAAUCGAGAAUUUUGUCUAACAAAAGUGUCUCAUAACUUAAAAAUGCCUAAAUCGACAAAUAACUUUUUAAAAGUGUCUCACAAUAUAAUAUUCUCUAAAAUAAAUUAUAAUAACUUGUAAGUUUGUAAUUAACCAUCGCCCAAAUAUGAUAACUAUCAUCAGUAACGUUUUGUUCCAAACAAAUUGCCUUUAUUA